rnacentral:rRNA from 1 species
AUACGGAGGAUCCGAGCGUUAUCCGGAUUUAUUGGGUUUAAAGGGUGCGCAGGCGGGAGAUUAAGUCGGCGGUGAAAUUUUGCAGCUCAACUGUAAAAGUGCCUUCGAAACUGGUUUCCUUGAGUGUAGAUGAAGUAGGCGGAAUUUGUGGUGUAGCGGUGAAAUGCAUAGAUAUCACGAGGAACUCCGAUUGCGCAGGCAGCUUACUAAACUACUACUGACGCACAGGCACGAAGGCGUGGGGAUCAAACAGGAUUAGAUACCCUGGUAGUCCACGCAGUAAACGAUGAUUACUAGCUGUUUGCGAUACAAUGUAAGCGGCUGAGCGAAAGCGUUAAGUAAUCCACCUGGGGAGUACGUUCGCAAGAAUGAAACUCAAAGGAAUUGACGGGG